AGUGAACGCUGGCGGUAGGCCUAACACAUGCAAGUCGAACGGCAGCACAGUAAGAGCUUGCUCUUACGGGUGGCGAGUGGCGGACGGGUGGGGAAUACAUCGGAAUCUACUUUUUCGUGGGGGAUAACGUAGGGAAACUUACGCUAAUACCGCAUACGACCUACGGGUGAAAGCAGGGGAUCUUCGGACCUUGCGCGAUUGAAUGAGCCGAUGUCGGAUUAGCUAGUUGGCGGGGUAAAGGCCCACCAAGGCGACGAUCCGUAGCUGGUCUGAGAGGAUGAUCGCCACCCUGGAACUUGGGCAACGGUCCGACCUCUAACGGAGGGCGGAGUUGGGAAUAUUGGACAAUGGGCGCAAGCCUGAUCCAGCCAUACCGCGUGGGUGAAGAAGGCCUUCGGGUUGUAAAGCCCUUUUGUUGGGAAAGAAAAGCAGCAGGUUAAUACCCCGCUGUUCUGACGGUACCCAAAGAAUAAGCACCGGCUAACUUCGUG
rnacentral:rRNA from 1 species